UAACACUGCUAGUUUACUGAAAAUAACCUUCUCCAGAGCAGAUUCUCUAUAAAUUUCAGGUGACCAACUACUCGUUUUUCUGUUCUGCUCACAGACAAUCGGGGACCCAGGGGCUUCGGUAUUGAUGACUUCUCUUCUCUACGGCGUUUCUCGUGUCCACUUCACGAGUCUCCUUGGCCAGUCUUGAAACACUUGGGAAUUAAACAGAGAAUCCACUGCAUAUAUUCUUCUUGAAAAUUUCCAUCGUGUAUGUUCAGAACUUUCUGAAUAAGCAUAAGGAUUUGAAGAGGAGCAGGUGGAGAGAGAAUAGAAUUGCGUCCUCAAGUGAAUCACGUUCAUUAUCAAUGGCAUAUUUAUCUUAGAUGGUAGCUCCCUAAAGAAAACUUACAAGGUAGUUUCAGGGAACCUGACUGAAGCCGCCUCCUUACUCAGGAAGUAAAAUAUACAAGAAAAGAAAAAAUUAUAGAAACUGUAUAGAAUCCUAGAAGCAUACAGUUUUAGAGCAGAAAUGGACCACUGAGACUUCUAGUCUGGUCCCCUCACAUGUAAUGGCCUUGUUUUCUCUUCCAAACUUGCUGUAUGAAAGCUUAACACAAAGAGCAGGAAACAUCCAUCUGGUCAGGCAUGACUUAUUAACAAGGAGAAACUGAGCAAGUGUUUUUCAAUAAUGAUUUCUUGAUAAGGAAGAUGGGGGGAAAUUUUCCUCCAAGAUGAAGUGAAGAUCUGAAGAAAAUACUCGGGUGCUUAUAAAUGUAGUAAUUAAAUUUAAAAUCAUUCAUUAUCUAGUCGUCAUUAGAUAAUCUUUUACGUCAUCAAUCUAGAAAUGAAAACAGCAAAUUUAGAUUUAUUUCAAGCUGUAGCAGCUUUAUCUGGAAAUCUGAUAUUGAGGAGAAAAGAGCUAAAAGUAAGAUACAGCUUUAGAACACUAGAGCCAUCUGGGACUAUUCAGGACAGGAGAAAGGAGAUUUAAAUAUGUAAGAAUUUCUGGGAAGUAUCAGUGUUAUUAUGAAACAGUAUAAUAAUGGUAUUUGUGAGAUAUCCAAAAAGAUUAAAAUGUGUUUAUUAUUCUCAAGAUAAGAAAUUGAGAAGUCAUUAAAAUUUAUAUGUAAAAGUAUAAUUCUUGAUGUGCAGAAAUGCUCAUAGUAUACUGUAAAGGGAAACCACAAAUUAUAAACCAUAUUAUAAUGUGGUCCCAUUUUUAUUAAAAAGCUACAGAGGGGGUGGCCCUGUGGCCGAGUGGUUAAAGUUCUAUGCACUCUGCUUCGGCGGCCCAGGUUCACGGGUUCAGAUCCCAGACCCGGACCUACUCCACUCACCAACCAUGCUGUGGAGGUGUCCCAUGUACAAAAAAAUGAAGGAAGAUUGGCACAGAUGUUAGCUCAGGGCGAAUCUUCCUCAGCCAAAAAAAAAAAAAGCUACAAAUGCAUAGGAAGAAAAUUGAAAUGAUGUACAUCAAAAUAUUAUUAAUGGUUAUGCUCAAUUGAUGAAAUUAUGGCUUAUUUUUAUUGCUUCUCGGGGUUUGUAAAACUUUUCCUAAAGUAUUUAUUAUUAAUGUAAUUUUAACAUAUUUUUUAAGGGCUGGGAGAAUAUUCACUUCUCUGGGAAAUUCACUUUUAUAGAACUACAAGGUCAUCCUGCUGAUUGUUGUUUAAAAUAGCCUUAAAGCAAAGCCCUUGCAUUUUGUAGUAUUAAACUGAUUUGAAUAUGAGAAUAGUACUUGCGCUUAGAUCAAAAUGAUUUUUAGAUAUUUUUAGAUACUUAGAUUUUUAGAUAUUUUUAGAUCAUUUGUGGAAUAUUGCAGUAGAAUAAAUUUCUCAAGUUUCUCCCUUCAUUAAACACUCAUAAUUUCACAUUAUGAUGAUUAAUUCUGUAGAAAUCUUCCUCAUUUUUUGUAUGAGAUAAUUCCAGUGUGAUUUCAAGAAUUUUCUAACUAUAAUAGUUUGCUGCAUUUGGAGGAUAAUUUUAUAUGUUUGGUUACAUUAGUGUUAAUCUGUCUUUGUUCUUUCAAUCUCCAAUGUAACAUACGGUUAGUCUCACCAUUAUUACUACCAGCUGCAGUUGGCCUAUGAUUUUGUUCAUUCUGUCUGAAUUCAAAGUAAUUAGCUCUUUAGUUUAAUGACAAUAUUUGUUAAUGGGUUUUUAGGGCCAAAUUCUGCUGUUAGAGAGUGGGUGGUAUAUUUGAAGAUAGAAUCUGGCCCUUAUGUUUUAAGCAUAAGCUGGGUAAUUUGAUUUCAAAAUGAUGGUUUAGAGAAUUUUGGGUAGGAAAACUAAAUCUGCAUUUAUCUGAAGUUUCUCAGUUUCAAGAAACAGAAAAUCAAAGUGGCAAUUUAUGUAAAUGAACAACACACCCACUGAAAGUUCUCUGAUGCAGCUAUCCUGCAUGUGUCGUUCCGUAUGCAGUUGGAAUAAGAAAUGACAUGAUAAUUAUCAAGCAGACAUUAAGUAAAUUUCCUUAUGUGACGGGGCAUACACUGAGUCCUGUAAGUGCAAUGAAACAGUUUGAUCGUUGUACUUUUUUCCAGCUUGAGUGAGAUAUAAUUGACAUAUAACAUUGUGUAAGUUUGAGAUAUACAAUGUGAUGAUUUGAUACACAUAUAUAUUAUGAAGUGAUUACCACAAUGAGGUUAGUUAACACAUCCAUCACCUCACAUAAUUAAGAGAGUAGAUCUUAAAUGUUCUCUCUCCCUCUCUCUCUCUCUCUCACACACACACACACACACACACACAAAAUUGAUCAUUACAUUUUUGAAGGACUCAGUGAAGUAGAAAGAACCCUUGCCUGAGGAUCAUUGGGGUUCAAGGUCAGACUCAGCUUCCUGAUAUUGGCAUGACCUUGGGGAAAUCUCUUUACCUCUCCCUAGGCCUCAGUUUCUUUAUCCUAAAAUGAGGCCUCUGCACCAGAUGAUCCCAGUGGUCCCUUCCAGCUCAAAAAUGAUAACUAACUUAUUUUAAAAGAGCACUAUAAGGAAUGCACAAGGAGGGCAAGGAAGGUGCAAUGACUUGAGCUAACUUAAUAAGCAAAUCAUUGUCUACUGAAAGGUACUUUGGAGACAUUUUUGACCUUAAGAACUUUCCUUCAAUGAUGUGUUACUUUUAUCCUGGAGAAGACAAAUAUUUGGAAGGUUUUAGGUAGAGGAGACUAUAGACUGCUCUAUUAGAAGGUUUCAAGGAGACCAGUUUUGGCAAAACUUGAAAGAAGAAAAAACCCCACCUAGCAACAGCUGAGAUAUCCAACAAUGAAAUAGGAAUGCUUUGGGAGAUCAUGGAUUCACCAUCAUUAUAGGAAGGAAAGUGGGUACCAAGGGGUAUAUGUGCAGCCAAACUGCCUUUCAAGCUUUAAAAGCUAGAGGCAAAUAUUCUGAACAUGUGAGAACUCAGGAAAUGCUGUUAUCGUGAGCCCUUUUUGAGGCAAUUAUUAAAGGACCAAUUCCAUCAAACGAAGAGGUGACUCUGGAAACUACUGCAAAAGACGAUUGUGAGCAUUGCAUGUAUUUAACUCUAAAACUAAACCUAAAAUAAAUAUGGAGAUUAAGGUGACAGGAUCGAGCAUAAAAGUAUACUGUUCUGUACAACUAAAACAACUAACAGGAUUUAGGAGGACAUAACAGAAAGAAUUUGGGCAUGUAUUAGCUGAUUGCUUUAUUUUCAAUAUCUAGGAAAUCAGUGGGUAUCAUUCAAAUCUGACAAAUCAAGUCAUAGAAGUAUAAGCCUGUUGAAGAGUAGGGAAAAAAAAAAACACUAAGAAAAGUCAAGUUAUUGCCCAACAUUAGAUGGCAAAGGAUGAGGGGAGAAAAUGGGGGUAAAAAUGCUACUUUUUCUAUCACUGAUAAUUGGGAAGGAGUAAAUAUUCUAAAGUUAUAGAAGAUCAAGGUUAUUCUAUGAAGUUACAAACUUCAUAUACAGGUUAUUAUAUUAACUUGUAAAGUUAUAAAUUAGGAUAAACUGUGCACUCUGUUAAAUAUUCUUAAAAAGCUAAAUGCAAAUAUUAAGGAAGGCAAACAGAUCAUAUAAUGAAAGACUCUUCAAAACUUUUAACAGAAAACUUAAAAAGAGACUUAAAAAUGUUUUUUUAAGAAAGAGAUUAUAGGCUGCUCUAUUAGAAGUUUUCAAGCAGACCAGGGUUGGCAAAAUUUGAAAAAAACAACCCCACGUAGUAACAGCUGAGAUGUCCAAUAGGAUGCUUUGGGAGAUCAUGGACUCACCAUCAUUAUAGGAAAGAAAGUGUGUACCAAAGAUUGAUCUUAUUGAUCUUUCAUAACAAUAAAUGUAAAGAAAUGCAUUUCCUUUUUUUAACAAUGCUUUUUUUUGUUGUUUUUGGCGAAGAAGGUUGGCUCUGAGCUAAUAUCUGUUGCCAAUCUUCCUUUUUUUUUCCUCCCCAAAGUCUCAGUGCAUAAUUGUAUAUCCUAGUUGUGAGUCAUUCUAGUUCUUCCAUGUGGGAUGCCACAACAGCAUGACUUGAUGAGUGGUGUGUAGGUCCACACCCAAGAUCUGAACCAGCAAAUCCCUGGCUGCCGAAGCAGAGCCACAAACAUAACCACCCAGCCAUGGGGCCGGCCUCCAUUUAUUUCUUUAAAAAGACAAUAUUUUCAUAUUGGCUCACAGUGCAGAACAAAACUCUAAGCUGUAUACAAGGAUACAACCAAAACAAAGUCAAUUAAAAAUUUGAAAAGGAAGGAGUAGGCAAAUGCAACCUAAAGAAAUUAGGAGUCGGACUGUUAAUAUCAGAAAACAUGAAAUUUAGGACCAAAAAGCAAUAACUAAGACAAAAGAGGAACUUUAUAGUGAACGCUGAUGGGUGUAAUGCAUAAUGAAGGUAUACAGUCAUGAGUAAAUCAGAGCUUUAAGGACAACCAUAGGUGUUUGUUUGGCAAAUAAACUUAACUUCCCAAAACAUGCCAAGAAAUACCAACAGUUCAUGUGUUAGGUGCUGGACUAAGUCUAAAAGUCAUGUUCUGUAAUCUAAAGCAAGACACUUAAAUUGAAAUUUAUUUAAAAGAGAAAGUAUUUCUAUAUCAAAGACAAUUAAAACUACCUAUUCCCCCAAAAAUUAAGUACCCAACUAAUGACAAAAUUUCUUUUCAUUAUCAGAAAAAAUGGGUCCCAAGUUGCUUCUCUUUUUGAAAAGAAGGGAAACGUCCACGAAGUCUGUAAAUGUAUGCCUUCAACGUAUUUGAUUCGAAGAAAAGUGGAACGUUUGGAUAACCCACCCUCGACAGGUAUUCUUAACAGCAGGACCUAAUUUCAGAGUGUUUGCAGUCAAGAGGUUUCUGCUGAGCAAAAGUUCUCGUUCAAUUUAGGAAUGCAGAUUAUAAUAAUUUUCCUAUCCUCCUCCCAGCAGGUUUCUUGCCUUCAUUUUGCAGACUCCUAAGUUCAGUGAGAAACAACUAGGUAACUUCAGUUCCAGGAGAAUAUAGCCUUCAAGCAUAGUCCCAUUAACUCAACUUGGUUAUAAUGCAAAGCUGCUUAGCUUCGGUAGGGAAUGGAAUACAGAAACUAUUAGGAAGGAAACGCUAAUACUAAAUUGCAGAAUUAUAAAAGGGAAGCUUGUCCAGCUAAAUUUUAAGAUACUCUGAGGGACAAAGAAGGAAAGCCACUGAUGCCAGCUUUUCCAAUGAACCAACCAUCAAUUCUGAUUACACAAUGAAAGACUCAACCAUACCUCAACUCUUUCUUCUGUUUUUGGUUAAAAAAUUGGAGUUAUCAUCUGUGUGCCUAGAAGGUAAUGUCAAACUUUAAAUUAUUUGCAACACCAUUUUGUCCGUAGGGAUUUAUGACCCCAGUUUUCAUUUAGGAAGAGUUAAUCAAGCUCCUACUCAGUAUAUUACUCUCAGAUUGACUUUGGAAGAAAAGCAUAGACCUCAAGCAUUUUCUUCCCUUUUCUUCCCUAAGAUAAUUUUUAAAAGAGUAGAGCUGUCUGGAUCUACCAGAGUCAGCUUCAUUACCCUGCCUCCUUCCGGCACUACCCUGCCAGCUUCUCCUCCCUGUGCUAGACUGUUCAUAAAUGUACUCUAGGCUUAUGAUUUCCUGGGAGAGGAUUUUGUGACCUUGCUCAUUAACCUACAAAUGAGCCUGACAACCAGCCUAUUGGGAUUUUUUUUUUUCCAUGCAUCAGAUCUUAGUCUCACCUGCUGCUGGUUUCAAACUCCAUUUGUUUAAUUUGUUCAAAUAUUCGUUGACUACCUUCUCGUAUGGCAGGAACUCUGUAGGCACUUAGGAUACAAAGAUGCCUACUUUCAGGGUGCGCAUAUUUUAGAGGGGGGAGAGCAUCAAAAAAUAGCAAUAAACACAAAAGAUAAGUAAAUUGUCUAGUAUAUUAGAAGGAAAUAAGUACUAUGGGGGGGAGAGCAGCAGGGAAAGGGGGAUCAGGAGCUCCAAGUAUUGGGGAAUGGGUUGCAAAUUUAAGUAAGGUGGUCAAGGUAGCCUCAUUGAGAAGGUGACAUUUGGGCAAAGAGUUGAAAAAGUUGAGGAUGUGGCCGUAUGGGAGAAUAUUCCAGGCAGAGGGAACAGUGAUUGCAGAGACUCUCAGGUGGGAGGUACCUAACAUGUUUGAACACCAAUGAAGAGAGUGCACCUGCAUGAGGUCAGAGGUAACUGCUGAAACGACCAGUCUGGCUGCCGUGCUCAGAAUGAGUGGGCAGGGGAGAGACCAGUGGUAAAAGCAGAGAGACUAGCAGAAGACUGUUGGAAUAACCAGGCAAAAGGCGAUGAUACCUCACUCCUGAGUGAUGGCAGUAGAGGUAGUGAGAAGUGGCCAGUUCGGGAUAUAUUUAGAAAGUAGAGCCAACAAGAUUUCCUAUUAUAGUUGAAAGAGAGGGGUCAAAGAUGACCCCAAGCUUUUUUUGGCCUGACACCUAGAAGAAUGGAGUUGCCAUCAACUAAGACAGAGGAAGAUAUUUUGAGAAGCAACGUUGUGGGGAAAGAUCAGAUUUAGUACUGGACACGUUGAGUUGAGAUUUUUAUUAGACAUUUAAGUGGAAAUGUCGAGUCACCAAUUGCAUUUAUAUACGAGUCUAAAGUUUGGAAGAAGAGUCAUCAGCAUAUAGAUUGCUCUGCUCUUAGAGGAGGAAAAGAUCAGGAAGCCUUUCUCAACUGGAGUUUCACAAGAGAAUUAAGCCCUCGUGCACUGAAGAUCUCCUGUAUGUAAUAAACUAAGUUCUCUUCUGUGUUCUAGCAUGGUAUUGGUUGUGUAGCAUCCUUGAAAGAAUUGAGAAAUCGUUUUUUUGUGUUCUGUGAGGAAGCCCAGAUGAGAAUGACUGCUUAGAUACCUAAGGAAACUUAAGUUUUGUCUCUUUUUCAGGCAAACUUUCUUAAUACUCGUUCUUAAGGUAAUUGGGAUCUUAAGCUAUUUGGAGUCAUUUUAUAAAACCUUAAAUGGAAUACCAUAAACAAGUGUUUCCCAAAAUGAGCACAAUUUUAAGAGGUGUUCUCAAAAGGAGGAUGGAAGGGUGAUGGCUCAGAUAUGUAUGGUAUUGGGGAAAAAAUAAUUAAAGCAAAAUCUUCUACCAACCCAGAAAUCCUCUCCACAAAGGUAGUAGAAAAAGAAAACUUUUAUUGUUGAAUAAGCGUUAAACCAAAAUGUGAUGUGCAUACAAGCAAGCCACUAAGAAAUUACAAAGACAGAAGGAAUCACACCCCCAUUUUCUAGCCAAGCAGAUACAACCCAUUACAUACUUGGUAGUUGGAGUGACUUUCUGUGUUAGCUUAUUGGCUUUAUCCAGAGGAGAGGCAUACCUCAUGUCUUUAUGACAGGAGAUAGCUUUGCAAAUUGGAGCAAUGCACCCACUGAAGUUGCUCCUGCCCUCCCAAAGAAACUGGGAGAUGGGGUGCUGUCUUCCCUGAUAUUUGCUUUUCAAAAAGAGGGCUCCCAGGUCCUUGAGAAGCUGAUAAAGCUGAGUCAUAAGGCUGACAAAAGACCUAUCUAGUUCUCAAAAGGAGCUAUAUACAUUUUAAAGAGGGGAGAAAGUAUUUAGAAUUAUACAUUUUCUAAAGUAAAUGCUCUAAGAAAAAAGAGGAGAGAGAAGGCUCGUCCCUAAUUUUUAACAGGGGGAAUUAAGCCUCUUGUUUUUCCUUUUUAUUUGUGCUUAUAAUGGUGAGCUCUGGGUGUAAAAUGAAGAUAAACAUUUCUUUACUAUAGGACUUCUCAGGGCUUUUAAUUCACUUUGUGUGACUUACAAAAUUCCAAGGGAGAAAUAUGUUUUGCAACACUUCUCAAAUAUAUUUGGUCAUAGAACCUUUUUUUAAUGAAGUAUCUCAUAGGACCAAUAGUCCACAAAUUCACACACUAGAAAAUGCCAUGCUGUCCUACACAGACCUGACCAAUUCCAGAAAGAGUGGGUGCAUUUAUUUUGUUUUAAUUACCUUAUCCUGCACCUGCAUCCUUUAUGGCCAUAGUCACGAAAACUUGUCAUUUUUGCCCUUCUAUUUUUAGUUUGUUGCUGUUUUCCCAUAUUUAUUUUGGUGUGUGAUAUGUUGCUCUUUUCCCCUAUUAAUUUUUGUGCAUGAUAUGCUAUUUUUGUUCCUAUUUAUGUUUGGCUAAAAUAUAAACAUUCUAUAUGCCUAUUUUAUCCCUUUGGUAGUAAUGGCCUGAAUAUUUCCUAAUUUUAUUAUUUUCACUGUCGCCACUAUUCCCUCAGUUCGACCCCUGGACAGUUGCCCAGUGUCUUGGAAGCACCUAGGUGUCUAUUUGAACUUACAUGUGAUCUUUCAAGUCUGUAAAAUGUUUGUUAUUCUGAAAGCAACCCUAAGCACUAAACCUGGGUAGCCGCUCCUGGGGAGUGGAGAUGGGGGUAUAUAUGGCGUAGACUGGGGUUUGGCUGUCUUCAGGCAUAGGCCAGCAUGAGAAAUGUUGAUACAAAAUGACCAAUAACCAUUCUAUAGAUAAGAGAGAUAAGGUGAGUUUUUCUUGAACCAAACAGGAUUAUAACUGGGGAAAGCAGCUUCCACAAAGGAAGAAAGCAUUCUGCAGAAGCAUGGUUUUCAGUCCAGUCUUCUACCUUUUCAGAACAAAGAUCAUACAUUAAACAGGAUACAUAUUCAUCAAAGUUUUGAAGAGGUAUUCAGCUGCAAAUUAGCAGGUCAACAUGACCGUGAUGUCCAGGAAAGAAAACUUAUCUUCAGGAGUACUAAUAGGGGGGUUACGGAUACCGGUAGGAGGGGAAGUCUGCAUUCUUAUCUUCAGAGAGUGCAUUCCUUACUUUAAUGAUUAAAGCAGAUGUACAAUGUAUGUUUGAUAGGCCAUAAUCAGGCUUCUUUAGUUCAAGCCAAUCAGUUUUGAACCAGAAUAGCUACCCCUUUACCUCAAUAUGUGAAAAUCUCUUGUCAGAAUUAGGUAGACAACCCAUAAUUAUCUUAUAAUGCAUUUAUUUUCUUUAAAACAAAAACUUGUACUAAGUAGUAGACAUUUUCAUUAAUCUCUAAUUUCUACUAAAUUUCUUUCUAAAUCCAC
ensembl:lncRNA